CCCUUAGAUGUUCUGGGCCGCACGCGCGCUACACUGACGGAGGCAGCGAGCAUGUCCUUCGCCGAGAGGUGUGGGGAAUCUUGUGAGUCUCCGUCGUGCUGGGGAUAGAUGGUUGCAAUUGUCGAUCUUGAACGAGGAAUUCCCAGUAAGCGCAAGUCAUCAGCUUGCGUUGAUUACGUCCCUGCCCUUUGUACACACCGCCCGUCGCUACUACCGAUUGGAUGGCUUAGUGAGACCCUCGGACCGAUAGGCUGUCGCCGCGGCAACGUGGCGACCGGCCCGUCGGGAAGAAGGUCAAACUUGACUGUCUAGAGGAAGUAAAAGUCGUAACA
rnacentral:rRNA from 1 species